CGUCCCGCCGGCGACCGGCGCACGGGUGAGUAACACGUAUGCAACCUGGCCGCCACAGGGGGAUAACCCGCGGAAACGCGGCCUAAUACCCCGUGACGCCACCGGAGGGCAUCCUCCGGUGGCCAAAGGAGCGAUCCGGUGGCGGAUGGGCAUGCGGCGCAUUAGCUAGACGGCGGGGUGACGGCCCACCAAGGCGACGAUGUCUAGGGGUUCUGAGAGGAAGGUCCCCCACACUGGUACUGAGACACGGACCAGACUCCUACGGAAGGCAGCAG
rnacentral:rRNA from 1 species